CGGACGGGUGAGUAACACGUGGAUAACCUACCUAUAAGACUGGGAUAACUUCGGGAAACCGGAGCUAAUACCGGAUAAUAUAUUGAACCGCAUGGUUCAAUAGUGAAAGACGGUUUUGCUGUCACUUAUAGAUGGAUCCGCGCCGCAUUAGCUAGUUGGUAAGGUAACGGCUUACCAAGGCAACGAUGCGUAGCCGACCUGAGAGGGUGAUCGGCCACACUGGAACUGAUACACGGUCCAG
rnacentral:rRNA from 1 species